rnacentral:rRNA from 1 species
CCUACGGGAGGCAGCAGUGAGGAAUAUUGGUCAAUGGACGAGAGUCUGAACCAGCCAAGUAGCGUGAAGGAUGACUGCCCUAUGGGUUGUAAACUUCUUUUAUAUGGGAAUAAAAUGUUCCACGUGUGGGAUUUUGUAUGUACCAUAUGAAUAAGGAUCGGCUAACUCCGUGCCAGCAGCCGCGGUAAUACGGAGGAGCCGAGGGUUAUCCGGAUUUAUUGGGUUUAAAGGGAGCGUAGGUGGAUUGUUAAGUCAGUUGUGAAAGUUUGCGGCUCAACCGUAAAAUUGCAGUUGAAACUGGCAGUCUUGAGUACAGUAGAGGUGGGCGGAAUUCGUGGUGUAGCGGUGAAAUGCUUAGAUAUCACGAAGAACUCCGAUUGCGAAGGCAGCUUACUGGACUGCAACUGACACUGAGGCUCGAAAGUGUGGGUAUCAAACAGGAUUAGAUACCCGGGUAGUC